rnacentral:lncRNA from 1 species
GCAGAAACAGGACCCCUACCCCAAAAGGGGGCACCUACCUGGGCAAGUGGUGGAGGCACAGGUAGUGGUCUAGAUGGAUAUAAGCGCUACUAUGGACCUAUUGAUCCAGAGGGACUUGGGCCAUGUGUGGACCAACAGACUGGCUCUCAAACUCCAAAAUCAGUCCCCAGAGCCCACCAACAACCCCCACCAACUAGUGUGGCUUUCUACCAGGAGAAGGGCAUGGACCAUGGCAUGGGGAAGAAGGUGGGAGCGGGUACUGGUGGAGGGGGUCAGGGUAGAGGGGUUAAAUCUCUGGGGACUCCCAGGCUUCCUCCUAAAAGCCAGGCCCCAGCCUCACUGACACCUAACCCCCCACUGCAGCACCCCUCUCCCCCUCUCCCUUCAUCCUUCUGGAGAAAACGGCGACCAAAAAAGCCCAAAGAACCUGGUGGCCCAUUAUACGAGAACAUCCUGCCACUAGGCCGGAGAGGUGGAGGCAGGGAAGCGAGUCGAAGACUGAGACCCUCUCCUCCUCUCCCCAUCCCUGUGCCAGUCACACUUUCCCCAAGCUACACUCCUCCAUCCCCCUCGCCCUCAUUCCCCUACACCUCCACAUCAUCCUCCUCAUCCACCACCAGCUCCUCAACCACAUCUUCAGCCACAUCCUCACGCUCCACCUCUCCUUCAUCCACUUCCACAGCUUCAUCUCGCAGCACCCGAGACAGAGAGGCUGAGGAAGAGGAUGAGGAGGAUUUGGAUGAGCUGACCGAAGAGUCUAGUCUUCUGCAGGGCAACAACAGAACCAGGGACCGAGAGCGGUCCAUACUAUCCCCUAGAUCUCUCACUCAUGGACCUCCCCCUCCUAUACCCCCGCGCAAACCGUGGGGCACUUUUGUAGACAGGGAGCAUAAGAAGGACAGAGAGAGAGAAAGGGGUGGCAAUCAACUAGCACAGCUCCAGGAAUGGUGGGCAGGAUGGGCAGAGAGAGAGAGGGACAGGGAGAGAAAUGGUGGAGCCCAGGGAGAUACAGAAAGGAAAAGAGAGAAGAAACGUAGGAAAGAGAUGGAAAAGGAGAAAAAGAAAAAGAAGAAGAAAAGCAAAAAACGAAAAAAGAGGGAGGAGCGUGAAAGAGAAAGAGAAAGAGAGAGGAAGCGUCGCAAGGUGAAAAAGAAGAAAAAGAAGGCAAUGAAAACCAAAAAGAAGAAGAAGGUGUCAUCCGGCAAGCGGUCGGAGCCAGAGGAGGGUGAUGUUGAGGCAGUGAGAGAUGAAGAUGGGGAUGGGGAUAGAGAAGGAGAGUACUCAUCAUUUUCCACUCAAUAUCGUAGUACUUUUGUCGACAAAGGCAGCCUUUCAGCUUGGGAGGGAGAGCGAGAAAGAGGGAGGAGAGAUGGAGGUGAGGACGAUAGGGACGAACGAGAGGAUGAGAGUGGGGGAGGUAGAGGUAGACCGAGAAGACCCAAAAGCUCCCAUUCACGACACCAGCCAUCCAGUAAACGCUAUCCCAACCUCAACAAACUCCCCUCUUCAGUUAAAUUCUGG